AACCAGACUCGGUCGUGGGGGCUCAGCGGGCAUGAGUGCCCGUGUACUCCCCCAUGCUCCGGGCCAGCAUCAGUUCUGGCGGUUGGUUAAAGGCCUCUGGAAUGUAUCGUCCUCCGGGACGUCUUAUAGCCAGGGGCGCAAUGCGGCCAGCCGGGACUGAGGAACGCGCUUCGGCACGGAUGCUGGCAUAAUGGUUGUAAGCGGCCCGUCUUGA
rnacentral:rRNA from 1 species